rnacentral:misc_RNA from 1 species
UAUGAAGAACGUAGCGAAAUGCGAUAAGUAAUGUGAAUUGCAGAAUUCCGUGAAUCAUCGAAUCUUUGAACGCACAUUGCGCCCCCUGGUAUUCCGGGGGGCAUGCCUGUCCGAGCGUCAUUGCAACCCUCAAGCGCGGCUUGUGUGUUGGGCCCUCGUCCCCCGUGGACGUGCCCGAAAUGCAGUGGCGGCGUCGUGUUCCGGUGCCCGAGCGUAUGGGGCUUUGUCACCCGCUCUUGAGGCCCGGCCGGCNCCGGCCCAUCAACCAUCGAGGACCCGUUCCUCAACCAGGUUGACCUCGGAUCAGGUAGGGAUACCCGCUGAACUUAAGCAUAUCAAUAAGCGGAGGA